rnacentral:tRNA from 1 species
GGCCCUAUCGUCUAGAGGCCUAGGACUCCAGAUUCUCAAUCUGGCAACACCGGUUCGAAUCCGGUUAGGGUCAC